UGAGGAAUAUUGGUCAAUGGACGCAAGUCUGAACCAGCCAUGCCGCGUGAAGGAUGAAGGCCUUCUGGGUUGUAAACUUCUUUUAUCUGGGAAGAAACCUCCGAUUUCUAUUGGAGCCGACGGUACCAGAGGAAUAAGCACCGGCUAACUCCGUGCCAGCAGCCGCGGUAAUACGGAGGGUGCAAGCGUUAUCCGGAUUCACUGGGUUUAAAGGGUGUGUAGGCGGGUAGUUAAGUCAGUGGUGAAAUCUCCAGGCUCAACCUGGAAACUGCCAUUGAUACUAUCUAUCUUGAAUAUCGUUGAGGUGGGCAGAAUAUGUCAUGUAGCGGUGAAAUGCAUAGAGAUGACAUAGAAUACCGAUUGCGAAGGCAGCUCACUAAACGUGUAUUGACGCUGAGGCACGAAAGCGUGGGGAUCAAACAGGAUUAGAUACCCUGGUAGUCCACGCCCUAAACGAUGAUUACUCGACAUAUGUGAUACACUAUAUGUGUCUGAGCGAAAGCAUUAAGUAAUCCACCUGGGAAGUACGUCCGCAAGGAUG
rnacentral:rRNA from 1 species